rnacentral:snRNA from 1 species
CAGUGCAGAGAAGAUUACCAUGGUCUCUGCACAAGAAUGACACACAAAUUCAUGAAGCAUCCAUAUUUUU